rnacentral:rRNA from 1 species
UGCAAGUCGAGCGGAUGACGGGAGCUUGCUCCUUGAUUCAGCGGCGGACGGGUGAGUAAUGCCUAGGAAUCUGCCUGGUAGUGGGGGGCAACGUUUCGAAAGGAACGCUAAUACCGCAUACGUCCUACGGGAGAAAGCAGGGGACCUUCGGGCCUUGCGCUAUCAGAUGAGCCUAGGUCGGAUUAGCUAGUUGGUGGGGUAAUGGCUCACCAAGGCGACGAUCCGUAACUGGUCUGAGAGGAUGAUCAGUCACACUGGAACUGAGACACGGUCCAGACUCCUACGGGAGGCAGCAGUGGGGAAUAUUGGACAAUGGGCGAAAGCCUGAUCCAGCCAUGCCGCGUGUGUGAAGAAGGUCUUCGGAUUGUAAAGCACUUUAAGUUGGGAGGAAGGGCAGUAAGUUAAUACCUUGCUGUUUUGACGUUACCGACAGAAUAAGCACCGGCUAACUCUGUGCCAGCAGCCGCGGUAAUACAGAGGGUGCAAGCGUUAAUCGGAAUUACUGGGCGUAAAGCGCGCGUAGGUGGUUCGUUAAGUUGGAUGUGAAAGCCCCGGGCUCAACCUGGGAACUGCAUCCAAAACUGGCGAGCUAGAGUACGGUAGAGGGUGGUGGAAUUUCCUGUGUAGCGGUGAAAUGCGUAGAUAUAGGAAGGAACACCAGUGGCGAAGGCGA